AAGUCGUAACAAGGUUUCCGUAGGUGAACCUGCGGAAGGAUCAUUACUGAAUUGUCAACAAGAGUUGUUGCUGGUCCUCAAAUGGGGGCAUGUGCACGCUCUGUUCACACAUCCACUCACACCCUGUGCACCCUCUGUAGUUCUGUGGUCGGGAGGCCUGUCCUCCUGCUGUGGUUCUGCAUCUUUACACACACACUGUAACAAAGUCUUAUGGAAUGCAUGCCGCGUUUAACGCAAUACAAUACAACUUUCAGCAACGGAUCUCUUGGCUCUCGCAUCGAUGAAGAACGCAGCGAAAUGCGAUAAGUAAUGUGAAUUGCAGAAUUCAGUGAAUCAUCGAAUCUUUGAACGCACCUUGCGCCCUUUGGCCAUUCCGAAGGGCAUGCCUGUUUGAGUAUCAUGAACACCUCAACUCUUCAUGGUUUUCCAUGAUGAGCUUGGACUUUGGGGGUCUUGCUGGCCUACGGUCGGCUCCUCUAAAAUAAAUCAGCUUGCCAGUGUUUGGUGGGUAUCGCAGGUGUGAUAACUAUCUACGCUUGUGGUUUUCCACCGAGUAACCUUCAGCAGUGGAGGUUCACUGGAGCUCACAGAUGUGUCUCUCCUCAGUGAGGACAGCUCUUUGAAUGUUUGAUCUCAAAUCAGGUAGGACUACCGCUGAACUUUAGCAUAUCAAUAAGCGGAGGAAAGAAACUAACAAGGAUUCCCCUAGUAACUGCGAGUGAAGCGGAAAGAGCUCAAAUUUAAAAUCUGGCGUGCCUCUGGUCGUCCGAGUUGUAUUCUGAAGAAGCGUUUUCCGUGUUGGACCGUGUACAAAGUCUCUUGGAACAGGGCGUCAAUANAGGGUGAAAAAUCCCGUCUUUGACACGGACUACCAAAUGCUUUGUGAUGCGCUCUCAAAAGAGUCGAGUUGUUUGGNGAAUGCAGCUCAAAAAUGGGUGGUAAAUUCCAUCUAAAAGCUAAAUAUAGGCGNGGAGACCGGAUAGCGAACAAAGUACCGUGNGGAAAAGANGAAAAAGCACUUUGNAAAGAAAAGUUAAACAGUACGUAAAAUUGCUGAAAAGAAAAACGCUUAAAUUAANUCACUUCUGCCGGGAACUCAGCCUCGUUUCUGCUUGGUGCACUUUCGGUUUUGGGGGGCCCAACAAAAAUUUUUGGCCCGCGGAAAAAAAGUUUUNAAAAAUGGGCCCCUUGGGGGGUGUUUAAAAGCUUUUUGUCGUAUGCAACGGUNGGGAUUGAGGNCCGCAGCACGCCUUCAUG
rnacentral:rRNA from 1 species